UGGCAUUUUACGUCAAAUUUGGUCAAGUAUUUAUUUUUUUAAAGAAUAAACAAAAUUUUUUCGUAACCUCUCUAACUUAAAGAAAGCUACCUUAAUGGAGCGAGAUAGAUAUUUUUUUAGGCAUUGCGUAAAGAGGUUAGACAUAUUUUACAUGACAACAUCAAUUAUGUCAGUUAUGACCAAAUUAUCUUUUGUUUUUAGUGACCAAAAAUGGCUAUUGUUGUGGUUCCGGUGUAACGGUAUUCGAAAUAUUACGGAAAUAAUAACCAAUAAGCUUGUGAAUCGCAAAAUAAAUUAAAUAUUGUACAAUGGUGAAGUGCGCAGUUGUUGCCUGCACCAACAAAACCCAAACAAAACUAGCGGGAAAUUCAUUUCACAAAUUUCCAAAAAAUCAUGAUUUAAGACAAAAAUAGCUAAACAGCAUUAACAGGCCUGAUUUCCAUGACGAUACAGCUGCAUAUAUUGUAGUGAUCAUUUUAAGAAGGAUCACAUUAAUUUUACAUUACGCCUUCUGCGCCUCAAGGACAAUGCCUGCCCAUCAAUCCCGAAUUUAUCACCUGAGCAACAAGUAAGACAACCCUUGCAAG